rnacentral:sRNA from 1 species
GCCGGGCGCGGUGGCUCAAGCCUGUAAUCCCAGCACUUUGGGAGGCCGAGACGGGCGGAUCACGAGGUCAGGAGAUCGAGACCAUCCUGGCUAACACAGUGAAACCCCGUCUCUAUUAAGAAAUACAAAAAACUAGCCGGGCGAGGUGGCGGGCGCCUGUAGUCCCAGCUACUCGGGAGGCUGAGGCCGGAGAAUGGCGUGAACCCGGGAGGCGGAGCUUGCAGUGAGCUGAGAUCCGGACACUGCCUCCCGAGUAACUGGGACUACAGGCGCCCGCCACCUCGCCCGGCUAUUUUUUGUAUUUCUUAGUAGAGACGGGGUUUCACCGUGUUAGCCAGGAUGGUCUCGAUCUCCUGACCUCGUGAUCCGCCCAUCUCGGC